rnacentral:rRNA from 1 species
AGGGUUUGAUCCUGGCUCAGGACGAACGCUGGCGGCGUGCUUAACACAUGCAAGUCGAACGGUAAGGCUCCAGCUUGCUGGGGUACACGAGUGGCGAACGGGUGAGUAACACGUGGGUGACCUGCCCUGCACUUCGGGAUAAGCCUGGGAAACUGGGUCUAAUACCGGAUAGGACCGCACCGUGAGGGUGUGGUGGAAAGUUUUUUCGGUGUGGGAUGGGCCCGCGGCCUAUCAGCUUGUUGGUGGGGUAAUGGCCUACCAAGGCGGCGACGGGUAGCCGGCCUGAGAGGGUGGACGGCCACAUUGGGACUGAGACACGGCCCAGACUCCUACGGGAGGCAGCAGUGGGGAAUAUUGCACAAUGGGCGGAAGCCUGAUGCAGCGACGCCGCGUGGGGGAUGACGGCCUUCGGGUUGUAAACUCCUUUCACCAUCGACGAAGGGUUUCUGACGGUAGAUGGAGAAGAAGCACCGGCUAACUACGUGCCAGCAGCCGCGGUAAUACGUAGGGUGCGAGCGUUGUCCGGAAUUACUGGGCGUAAAGAGCUCGUAGGUGGUUUGUCGCGUCGUCUGUGAAAUUCCGGGGCUUAACUCCGGGCGUGCAGGCGAUACGGGCAUAACUUGAGUACUGUAGGGGAGACUGGAAUUCCUGGUGUAGCGGUGAAAUGCGCAGAUAUCAGGAGGAACACCGGUGGCGAAGGCGGGUCUCUGGGCAGUAACUGACGCUGAGGAGCGAAAGCAUGGGGAGCGAACAGGAUUAGAUACCCUGGUAGUCCAUGCCGUAAACGGUGGGCGCUAGGUGUGGGUUUCCUUCCACGGGAUCCGUGCCGUAGCUAACGCAUUAAGCGCCCCGCCUGGGGAGUACGGCCGCAAGGCUAAAACUCAAAGGAAUUGACGGGGGCCCGCACAAGCGGCGGAGCAUGUGGAUUAAUUCGAUGCAACGCGAAGAACCUUACCUGGGCUUGACAUAUACAGGAUCGCGCCAGAGAUGGUGUUUCCCUUGUGGCUUGUAUACAGGUGGUGCAUGGUUGUCGUCAGCUCGUGUCGUGAGAUGUUGGGUUAAGUCCCGCAACGAGCGCAACCCUUGUCUUAUGUUGCCAGCACGUUGUGGUGGGGACUCGUAAGAAACUGCCGGGGUUAACUCGGAGGAAGGUGGGGAUGACGUCAAAUCAUCAUGCCCCUUAUGUCCAGGGCUUCACACAUGCUACAAUGGUCGGUACAGUGGGUUGCCAGUCCGUGAGGGCGAGCUAAUCCCGCAAAGCCGGUCUCAGUUCGGAUCGGGGUCUGCAACUCGACCCCGUGAAGUCGGAGUCGCUAGUAAUCGCAGAUCAGCAACGCUGCGGUGAAUACGUUCCCGGGCCUUGUACACACCGCCCGUCACGUCAUGAAAGUCGGUAACACCCGAAGCCAGUGGCCUAACACAUUUUGUGGGGGAGCUGUCGAAGGUGGGAUUGGCGAUUGGGACGAAGUCGUAACAAGGUAGCCGUACCGGAAGGUGCGGCUGGAUCACCU